rnacentral:rRNA from 1 species
UACCAGCACCCCGAGUGGUCGGGACGAUUAUUGGGCCUAAAGCAUCCGUAGCCGGCCUUACAAGUCCCCCGUUAAAUCCAACUGCUUAACAGAUGGGCUGCGGAGGAUACUAUAGAGCUAGGAGGCGGGAGAGGCAAGCGGUACUCGAUGGGUAGGGGUAAAAUCCGUUGAUCCAUUGAAGACCACCAGUGGCGAAGGCGGCUUGCCAGAACGCGCUCGACGGUGAGGGAUGAAAGCUGGGGGAGCAAGCCGG